rnacentral:rRNA from 1 species
UACGUAGGGUGCAAGCGUUGUCCGGAAUUAUUGGGCGUAAAGAGCUCGUAGGCGGUUUGUCGCGUCGGCUGUGAAAACUCGGGGCUCAACCCCGAGCCUGCAGUCGAUACGGGCAAACUAGAGUGCUGUAGGGGAGACUGGAAUUCCUGGUGUAGCGGUGAAAUGCGCAGAUAUCAGGAGGAACACCGGUGGCGAAGGCGGGUCUCUGGGCAGUAACUGACGCUGAGGAGCGAAAGCGUGGGGAGCAAACAGG